rnacentral:rRNA from 1 species
GGUUAAGCGACUAAGCGUACACGGUGGAUGCCCUGGCAGUCAGAGGCGAUGAAGGACGUGCUAAUCUGCGAUAAGCGUCGGUAAGGUGAUAUGAACCGUUAUAACCGGCGAUUUCCGAAUGGGGAAACCCAGUGUGAUUCGUCACACUAUCAUUAACUGAAUCCAUAGGUUAAUGAGGCGAACCGGGGGAACUGAAACAUCUAAGUACCCCGAGGAAAAGAAAUCAACCGAGAUUCCCCCAGUAGCGGCGAGCGAACGGGGAGCAGCCCAGAGCCUGAAUCAGUGUGUGUGUUAGUGGAAGCGUCUGGAAAGGCGCGCGAUACAGGGUGACAGCCCCGUACACAAAAAUGCACAUGCUGUGAGCUCGAUGAGUAGGGCGGGACACGUGGUAUCCUGUCUGAAUAUGGGGGGACCAUCCUCCAAGGCUAAAUACUCCUGACUGACCGAUAGUGAACCAGUACCGUGAGGGAAAGGCGAAAAGAACCCCGGCGAGGGGAGUGAAAAAGAACCUGAAACCGUGUACGUACAAGCAGUGGGAGCCUCUUUAUGGGGUGACUGCGUACCUUUUGUAUAAUGGGUCAGCGACUUAUAUUCUGUAGCAAGGUUAACCGAAUAGGGGAGCCGAAGGGAAACCGAGUCUUAACUGGGCGUUAAGUUGCAGGGUAUAGACCCGAAACCCGGUGAUCUAGCCAUGGGCAGGUUGAAGGUUGGGUAACACUAACUGGAGGACCGAACCGACUAAUGUUGAAAAAUUAGCGGAUGACUUGUGGCUGGGGGUGAAAGGCCAAUCAAACCGGGAGAUAGCUGGUUCUCCCCGAAAGCUAUUUAGGUAGCGCCUCGUGAACUCAUCUCCGGGGGUAGAGCACUGUUUCGGCAAGGGGGUCAUCCCGACUUACCAACCCGAUGCAAACUGCGAAUACCGGAGAAUGUUAUCACGGGAGACACACGGCGGGUGCUAACGUCCGUCGUGAAGAGGGAAACAACCCAGACCGCCAGCUAAGGUCCCAAAGUCAUGGUUAAGUGGGAAACGAUGUGGGAAGGCCCAGACAGCCAGGAUGUUGGCUUAGAAGCAGCCAUCAUUUAAAGAAAGCGUAAUAGCUCACUGGUCGAGUCGGCCUGCGCGGAAGAUGUAACGGGGCUAAACCAUGCACCGAAGCUGCGGCAGCGACGCUUAUGCGUUGUUGGGUAGGGGAGCGUUCUGUAAGCCUGUGAAGGUGUGCUGUGAGGCAUGCUGGAGGUAUCAGAAGUGCGAAUGCUGACAUAAGUAACGAUAAAGCGGGUGAAAAGCCCGCUCGCCGGAAGACCAAGGGUUCCUGUCCAACGUUAAUCGGGGCAGGGUGAGUCGACCCCUAAGGCGAGGCCGAAAGGCGUAGUCGAUGGGAAACAGGUUAAUAUUCCUGUACUUGGUGUUACUGCGAAGGGGGGACGGAGAAGGCUAUGUUGGCCGGGCGACGGUUGUCCCGGUUUAAGCGUGUAGGCUGGUUUUCCAGGCAAAUCCGGAAAAUCAAGGCUGAGGCGUGAUGACGAGGCACUACGGUGCUGAAGCAACAAAUGCCCUGCUUCCAGGAAAAGCCUCUAAGCAUCAGGUAACAUCAAAUCGUACCCCAAACCGACACAGGUGGUCAGGUAGAGAAUACCAAGGCGCUUGAGAGAACUCGGGUGAAGGAACUAGGCAAAAUGGUGCCGUAACUUCGGGAGAAGGCACGCUGAUAUGUAGGUGAAGUCCCUCGCGGAUGGAGCUGAAAUCAGUCGAAGAUACCAGCUGGCUGCAACUGUUUAUUAAAAACACAGCACUGUGCAAACACGAAAGUGGACGUAUACGGUGUGACGCCUGCCCGGUGCCGGAAGGUUAAUUGAUGGGGUCAGCGCAAGCGAAGCUCUUGAUCGAAGCCCCGGUAAACGGCGGCCGUAACUAUAACGGUCCUAAGGUAGCGAAAUUCCUUGUCGGGUAAGUUCCGACCUGCACGAAUGGCGUAAUGAUGGCCAGGCUGUCUCCACCCGAGACUCAGUGAAAUUGAACUCGCUGUGAAGAUGCAGUGUACCCGCGGCAAGACGGAAAGACCCCGUGAACCUUUACUAUAGCUUGACACUGAACAUUGAGCCUUGAUGUGUAGGAUAGGUGGGAGGCUUAGAAGUGUGGACGCCAGUCUGCAUGGAGCCGACCUUGAAAUACCACCCUUUAAUGUUUGAUGUUCUAACGUUGACCCGUAAUCCGGGUUGCGGACAGUGUCUGGUGGGUAGUUUGACUGGGGCGGUCUCCUCCUAAAGAGUAACGGAGGAGCACGAAGGUUGGCUAAUCCUGGUCGGACAUCAGGAGGUUAGUGCAAUGGCAUAAGCCAGCUUGACUGCGAGCGUGACGGCGCGAGCAGGUGCGAAAGCAGGUCAUAGUGAUCCGGUGGUUCUGAAUGGAAGGGCCAUCGCUCAACGGAUAAAAGGUACUCCGGGGAUAACAGGCUGAUACCGCCCAAGAGUUCAUAUCGACGGCGGUGUUUGGCACCUCGAUGUCGGCUCAUCACAUCCUGGGGCUGAAGUAGGUCCCAAGGGUAUGGCUGUUCGCCAUUUAAAGUGGUACGCGAGCUGGGUUUAGAACGUCGUGAGACAGUUCGGUCCCUAUCUGCCGUGGGCGCUGGAGAACUGAGGGGGCUGCUCCUAGUACGAGAGGACCGGAGUGGACGCAUCACUGGUGUUCGGGUUGUCAUGCCAAUGGCACUGCCCGGUAGCUAAAUGCGGAAGAGAUAAGUGCUGAAAGCAUCUAAGCACGAAACUUGCCCCGAGAUGAGUUCUCCCUGACUCCUUGAGAGUCCUGAAGGAACGUUGAAGACGACGACGUUGAUAGGCCGGGUGUGUAAGCGCAGCGAUGCGUUGAGCUAACCGGUACUAAUGAACCGUGAGGCUUAACCUU